UUUAUGGAGAGUUUGAUCCUGGCUCAGAGUGAACGCUGGCGGCGUGCCUAAUACAUGCAAGUCGAACGAUGAAGCUUCUAGCUUGCUAGAGUGCUGAUUAGUGGCGCACGGGUGAGUAACGCAUAGGUUAUGUGCCUCUUAGUUUGGGAUAGCCAUUGGAAACGAUGAUUAAUACCAGAUACUCCCUACGGGGGAAAGAUUUAUCGCUAAGAGAUCAGCCUAUGUCCUAUCAGCUUGUUGGUAAGGUAAUGGCUUACCAAGGCUAUGACGGGUAUCCGGCCUGAGAGGGUGAACGGACACACUGGAACUGAGACACGGUCCAGACUCCUACGGGAGGCAGCAGUAGGGAAUAUUGCUCAAUGGGGGAAACCCUGAAGCAGCAACGCCGCGUGGAGGAUGAAGGUUUUAGGAUUGUAAACUCCUUUUGUUAGAGAAGAUAAUGACGGUAUCUAACGAAUAAGCACCGGCUAACUCCGUGCCAGCAGCCGCGGUAAUACGGAGGGUGCAAGCGUUACUCGGAAUCACUGGGCGUAAAGAGCGCGUAGGCGGGAUAGUCAGUCAGGUGUGAAAUCCUAUGGCUUAACCAUAGAACUGCAUUUGAAACUACUAUUCUAGAGUGUGGGAGAGGUAGGUGGAAUUCUUGGUGUAGGGGUAAAAUCCGUAGAGAUCAAGAGGAAUACUCAUUGCGAAGGCGACCUGCUGGAACAUUACUGACGCUGAUUGCGCGAAAGCGUGGGGAGCAAACAGGAUUAGAUACCCUGGUAGUCCACGCCCUAAACGAUGGAUGCUAGUUGUUGGAGGGCUUAGUCUCUCCAGUAAUGCAGCUAACGCAUUAAGCAUCCCGCCUGGGGAGUACGGUCGCAAGAUUAAAACUCAAAGGAAUAGACGGGGACCCGCACAAGCGGUGGAGCAUGUGGUUUAAUUCGAAGAUACACGAAGAACCUUACCUAGGCUUGACAUUGAGAGAAUCCGCUAGAAAUAGUGGAGUGUCUAGCUUGCUAGACCUUGAAAACAGGUGCUGCACGGCUGUCGUCAGCUCGUGUCGUGAGAUGUUGGGUUAAGUCCCGCAACGAGCGCAACCCCCUUUCUUAGUUGCUAACAGGUCAUGCUGAGAACUCUAAGGAUACUGCCUCCGUAAGGAGGAGGAAGGUGGGGACGACGUCAAGUCAUCAUGGCCCUUACGCCUAGGGCUACACACGUGCUACAAUGGGGUGUACAAAGAGAAGCAAUACUGCGAAGUGGAGCCAAUCUUCAAAACACCUCUCAGUUCGGAUUGUAGGCUGCAACUCGCCUGCAUGAAGCUGGAAUCGCUAGUAAUCGCAAAUCAGCCAUGUUGCGGUGAAUACGUUCCCGGGUCUUGUACUCACCGCCCGUCACACCAUGGGAGUUGUGUUUGCCUUAAGUCAGGAUGCUAAAUUGGCUACUGCCCACGGCACACACAGCGACUGGGGUGAAGUCGUAACAAGGUAACCGUAGGUGAACCUGCGGUUGGAUCACCUCCUUUCUAGA
rnacentral:rRNA from 1 species